AACGAUAUCAAUAGCAACGGAUUCGAUAAAGAUCUUAAUACGCGAACUUGGAAGCGGCCGGUCAACUGUCAACAGGUGGCUCUUACCUAACCCAAUUCACACUGUCAACGUCAAGACAAAUUUAAACGUAAAUAUUGAAAAUUUAACGGUAUUGAAAUAUGGAAAAAUUACUGGUACUUCGCUCGAAAGGUAUGGUACGACCUUACUGCGACGAAUGUGAAUCCUUGGUGGACCUGGAACCUUUUUAUACCCAUCGCAGGAAUUUGGGUGCCGACGACUCACGAACAUCCUCGGAACCAAUCGUUGAAUAAAAAUGCAAUUGGGAAAACUUAAUGAAAAUAGAGUUUUUCCUCGUGAAAACGGUGAAAACAGCGGGACAAAAGCUGGCCACAUGUGUACCAGAAAACCGGCUUUUCAGGAAAACCGCGGGAAACUAAAUCAUGAUUUAUAUUAUAUUUUGCCAUACCGGGCAUGCCCCUUCAUUUAACAGGGCUUCCCAAGUUUUAGGCAUUUGUGGUUCUUUAUUAUCCUAAGAAUAACCAGGGCUGAAAACAAUAAGGCCAGAGACUACAACAUAGUCAACGGAGAACUAGGCAUAACCUAUAAGAAAUCAAACCUUUCCAGGAUACUAUCAAGCUAGAAACCUCUUUAAGUUGGUUU